AUUCCCUCAGUGGCUACAUUUAAGCCAUUUAUACUUUAUACUUUAAAACACUGAAGGUAGGCCUGGCCUUCUGUGGGUUUAGGUGGGGGCAGAUCAGCGAUGGCCAAGGGAGAAUGUCUUCUCUGUGGUUAUUCUUCACAGUGAGACAAUGAAGACCCCAUAAGCUAAAAGAGCAACUGCAUUUGAGGAGGUACAAUGGCAGCCCAGUUCUGAAGCUUCUUCUUAGUGGCCAGUAGGGACUCAUUCUGACCCAACAGAAACCUCUUAGGUUCUGCAGUGACUAAAGCCAACAGCCUGAGGCAUGCUGCUGUGUAGUAGACAAAGGGCAGGCAGCGAGCAAGUGUGUACAAGGUACAUACGUGCUGCACGCUGCUGUGUAGUGGAGAAAGGGCAGCGAGCAAGUGUGUGCAGGGUACAUACAUGCCGCACGCUGCUGUGUAGUGGAGAAAGGGCAGGCAGCGAGCAAGUGUGUGCAGGGUACAUACGUGCUGCACGCUGCUGUGUAGUGGAGAAAGGGCAGGCAGCCAGUAAGUGCGUGCAGGGUACAUACGUGCUGAACGUGUCCAUCUCUCCAGUCAGAUUGAUUUG
rnacentral:antisense_RNA from 1 species